GACGAACGCUGGCGGCGUGCUUAACACAUGCAAGUCGAACGAGAAUCUACUGAAGGAGGAUUCGUCCAACGGAAGUAGAGGAAAGUGGCGGACGGGUGAGUAACGCGUGAGGAACCUGCCUUGAAGAGGGGGACAACAGUUGGAAACGACUGCUAAUACCGCAUGAAGCAUAGGGGUCGCAUGAUUCUUAUGCCAAAGAUUUAUCGCUUCAAGAUGGCCUCGCGUCUGAUUAGCUAGUUGGCGGGGUAACGGCCCACCAAGGCGACGAUCAGUAGCCGGACUGAGAGGUUGAACGGCCACAUUGGGACUGAGAUACGGCCCAGACUCCUACGGGAGGCAGCAGUGGGGAAUAUUGCACAAUGGGCGAAAGCCUGAUGCAGCGACGCCGCGUGAACGAGAAGUAUUUCGGUAUGUAAAGUUCUAUCAGCAGGGAAGAAAAAUGACGGUACCUGACUAAGAAGCACCGGCUAAAUACGUG
rnacentral:rRNA from 1 species